rnacentral:lncRNA from 1 species
GCAAAAAAUGACUCAGGGCCAACGAAGAACACGGGACGAGCGCUACUUUCAACAAUUGAUUUAUUGCAGCUGGUAAGCAUAUAUAUACCCACAGGGAAGGCACUGCAAAAGACGCACUGAAGGAAAGAAGAAAAGGAAAA